rnacentral:rRNA from 1 species
GUGGGGAAUAUUGGACAAUGGGCGAAAGCCUGAUCCAGCCAUGCCGCGUGUGUGAAGAAGGUCUUCGGAUUGUAAAGCACUUUAAGUUGGGAGGAAGGGCAGUAAGUUAAUACCUUGCUGUUUUGACGUUACCAACAGAAUAAGCACCGGCUAACUUCGUGCCAGCAGCCGCGGUAAUACGAAGGGUGCAAGCGUUAAUCGGAAUUACUGGGCGUAAAGCGCGCGUAGGUGGUUUUGUAAGUUGGAGGUGAAACCCCCGGGCUCAACCUGGGAACUGCCUCCAAAACUGCAUGACUAGAGUACGGUAGAGGGUAGUGUAAUUUCCUGUGUAGCGGUGAAAUGCGUAGAUAUAGGAAGGAACACCAGUGGCGAAGGCGACUACCUGGACUGAUACUGACACUGAGGUGCGAAAGCGUGGGGAGCAAACAGGAUUAGAUACCCCGGUAGUCC